AAGAGUUUAAGUUAAAAAAACUUUUAAUUUUCAAAAUUAACUUUAUACUUAGUAUAACUCUU
rnacentral:tRNA from 1 species